GAAUGCCAUCAGGACAAAGCCUGACCAGCAAUCCUGUAGCUAGUUCUUGAAGGCUAGGCGGUAACGAAUAGCUUUAAGCGUAGAACGGCAUAAUAGCGGGCCGAAAGUGAAAGCUGAAGUGAUUGAGCCUCGAAAGUACGUGUCUCUUUUUUGCACAAGAAAAAAACCGGCCUCGCGGCCGGCAGGAGU
rnacentral:ncRNA from 1 species